GAUGAACGCUAGCUAUAGGCUUAACACAUGCAAGUCGAGGGGAAACGGCAUUAUGUGCUUGCACAUUUUGGACGUCGACCGGCGCACGGGUGAGUAUCGCGUAUCCAACCUGCCCUUUACUUGGGGAUACCCCGUUGAAAGACGGCCUAAUACCCGAUGUAAUUCAUUGAUGGCAUCAGAUAUGAAUAAAAGAUUUAUCGGUAAAGGAUGGGGAUGCGUCUGAUUAGCUUGUUGGUGAGGUAACGGCUCACCAAGGCGACGAUCAGUAGGGGUUCUGAGAGGAAGGUCCCCCAAAUUGGAACGGAGACACGGUCCAAACUCCUACGGGAGGAAGCAGUGAGGAAUAUUGGUCAAUGGGCGCAAGCCUGAAACAGCCAAGUAGCGUGCAGGAAGACGGCCCUAUGGGUUGUAAACUGCUUUUAUACGAGAAUAAUUUGAUGCACGUGUGCGUUAUUGCAUGUAUCGUAUGAAUAAGGACCGGCUAAUUCCGUG
rnacentral:rRNA from 1 species